rnacentral:lncRNA from 1 species
AAAAGGUUGGUGAACAGAAUCUUUUAGAAUUCGUGUUUCUGCCACAGAUUUUCCAAAGUUUUUAAAUAUUUACCACAACGCUUACUAAAUGUUUGCCUGAUGCUUAUCGUCUCUUCGUCGAAGUCGGUUGCCGCGGUUGUCCUCCAAUACGGUUCGUUUAUGUUUUCUUUCUCUUUUCCCUUUGUUAUUUACUCUUCCUUCCUUUAUCCGCUUCCUUUUAUCAAUUCUUUCCCACACCGUCUCUCUCCCUCUGGGUUACUGACGUUGGAGCCGUUGCUGGUGAUCGACGAAUGGUAAAGGAGCAGCACUCAGUGACCAGUCCCAACUUUUUCGUCGGCGUUGAAGGCCACCGGUGUUGGCGAAGGCAGUCCAUCAAAGUGCUCGGCGGACAGAGACUUGGCUUCGGGGUUGUUCUUCUAAGAAUAGGUUUGUCUCCUGCUUAUUUCAAAAAACGACAUACAUGUAGAUUUGAUUUCCUUAAUUACUCUUUGCAAGUAUUACGUUCAUCAACUUGGGUUCUUCCACCACCGAUUUAUGUUCCUACGUACCGGUCUCACUGAAUUUUUAUAUUGUGACUGACGUUGGAGCUGUUGCUGGUGAUCGACGAGUGCUGAAGGAGCAGCAGUCGGAGACCAGUGGUUUGAUGGUGCGCCGAUGGCGUCACCGAUUUCCUGUUUGCUUAACGGUUCCAUGUUUCGUCCACUGCUUCUCUUAGCAGUUUCCGUUCUUUCUCUGGGAAUCAAUUUAAGGUUCGUUUUCGAUUAUUCAUUUCCUUUCUUUUCUAGCUUUCAAAAAACAUGGAUUUUGUUUCCUUUUUUUAGGUGUUUGACGGGAUGAGAAAGCAGGAACAACUAUGUGUGUUUAUGGUUAUUAGAGAAAUUUGAAGAAACAGUGGAAGCGCACCAGGUGUUUGAUAAAAUGCCUAUUUGAAAUCUGGGUUUGAAACCAAUAAUUGGUAAACUAUUCUUAUCAAUUUCAGCCAUCUUACUCUACUAACUAAAAUAUAUCAUCCAUUUGCAAAUUUAGCUUUCAAAGUUUACAUUCUAUUAUCAUAACAUCUCUGGUUAUUUGAAGACUAAUAUGCCCUCAAGAAAUAGCAUUUAUAACAAUUUGAACUGAUCAUUGCCCUUGCUUCCUUUCAUUGUAUCUUUAAUGUUUUUGGUUCCAUGGAUGAUUCACAAAUGAAAUUAUUGACUUUCAUUUUUUUUAAUCUUAUUUUUCAGGAAAAUAAAUGAAGGGUUAUAUGCAAAAAAUAGCAUCAUACUUCUGUUAUAAUUUUGAUUUUCCAAAGUUUAUUAGUUUUAAUACAUUUUUUUUAAAACUCAUUUACAGGUCAGCUUAAGAGAUCCUAUUCGGAAAGGUGCUGAUGAUAAUGACCUGAGACAAAUUAAUGAAUUAUUGGGGCUGCGGUACGAUUUUAUCAUCUCUUAUGCACAAUUUUUUUUUUCAUUUAUUUGUAAAUUUUUGUAAUGCCAUUUACAAAUGAUACAAAUGGUCUCAUGUUGGAAUGUUUGUCACCAAUAAUACAUAUUGGUGGUUAGCUUUCCUUUUUUACCCUCCAAUAUGUUUCUUAUUCAACCAAGAAAUAUCUUUCCAGAUGUGUAAACUUAUGGUUAAAUGUCUUAAUGAAAAGGUGACAUUGUUAUAAUUGGGUAGAUUUCUCAAUGUACAAUGUUGUAAUAUGAAGAAAUGAUAGUUAUGAUGCUAUAAUAAACAAAUCAAUGAAAAUAUGUUGCUAUUUCUUACAUUUAUCACUUUAAAGUUGAUGAAAAUUCUUUUGAUUUGGGAUUUUGUAGGUAAGUGAAUCUAUUAAGAAGGAGUAUGACCGAAAGUGUGAACAACUUAGACAUCAAUUCGCAAAGGAUAUUAAACCUCAUGUGAUUGAUAAAACUCAAGCUACGGCUAAAGAUUUGCAUUCGCGUAUUUGGGUUGUAUUACAUACGGUUGAUUCUAUAUCAAAACGGAUUGAGAAAAUAAGAGAUGAAGAGUUACAACCGCAAGAACUCAUUCAAAGGUAAAUCAUUAAAUUUUAGUUUUUUCUUUUCUUAAAUAAACAUUGUGAAUUUAUUAUACUUUACGAAAAAUAUUAACAAAUGAAAUACUGUAAAUAUUUAAUAAAAUUAUAAGCAAAUAUAAUACUAAAAUUUAACAUUGUAAAAAAGUAAAACAAAAUGAAAUGCAAAAUAUUUUAAAAAAAACUACAUUUAUUAUAAGAAUAAAUUGAAUACUUAAAAUUUAAAAUUAUGAAUCAUAAAACAUAAAAAAUGGAUUACUUAAAUUAAAAUUUUUAAUAUUUACAAAACAUGCAUCUUUUAAAUUAAUUCCAAGAAAGUUACAAACAGAAUACUAAGGAUUUAUAAAGAACAACCAAACUUACAAUAAUUUUAAGAACUGUAAAAAUAUUAUAAAGAAAUGUAAUUCUUAAAAUAAUAUUUAUUAAAAAGUACAAUAAAUGUGUCGUUUAUAUCAAUUGCUAACAAACCAAGCACUUAAAUAAUUAUAUAGAUCAAUUACUAACAAACCAAGCACUUAAAUAAUUAUAUAGAACAAACGAAAUUAAAAUAAUUAUGAAAGUACAAAAAACUAUUUAAAAUGUUAUACCCAAAUGAAAUACUCAAACUAAAAAUCAUAAAAAUUGCAAAAAGACUAUUUGACUUCUAAAAAUUUACAAAGGGAGUAUUGUAAAUUGUAACAUAUACCAAUUCAAAAUUUUCAUGGAACAUGUCUUUUGGUCUACUUGAUGCAAAAAAGACUCGAUCCAUUUACAUAUAAUUAGUGAUUAAACUUUGCAGAUUAAUCAAAAUGUGGAAAUCAAUGCUUGAAUGCCACCAUGCCCAACACAAAACAAUCUCAUCUUCUCACCAUUUCACCAUUUCAAGAACACAAACUCACCAAAACGAAUCCAAGAACCAGAUUCUAAUUGAGCUACAACACGAGAUCGAAUGCUUUGCACAAAAAAAGUCUUUGUAUUUGUAUUGUACCUAACCUAACCCCCUUAUCUCACUUUCUACUUUAGAACUAGAAAAAUAUCCACUCAAAAAACAUGGGCUAAAAACAACAAAACUACCAUUCAACAAUUAAAAAGACGCCAUUAAAUUCCAAGCACAAAUCUUUUUUUUUUAAUAUAUAUGAAUGUGAUGUGUCAUAAAAAUCGAAAUUCUUGAUUUAUUCUACUAACAACAAAAACACAUAUUACCUGUCAGCUUUUUUGGUCUCUCUGCUUACUCAAACGCAAACCCAUAGAGGUAAUUUUCAAUAUACGAUUUUCAUUUCUGAUUUCAUAUAAAGGUGUAUUCCAUUGCAAUCGGUCUGUCGGCCAUGGCAAAAACCCGCAUAAAUGUCACUUAUUGUUGGGCUUCCGCGUCAUAAUAAAAAGGUAGAUAUUCUACCUUCUAGGUGAGCAUAAAUGUUCAAAAUUAGAUUUUGUUUCUUUUUUACUACUUUACUGUUAUCUAGAUAAAUGAUUUUAAUUAAAACAAUUGGUUUAAUUUUUAUUUUUAAUUUAAUUGAAUCCACGAAGAACAAGGUUUUUGUUUUUAAAAGGCUAAGAUUAUGGUUGUAUUUGUAUGAGGUUGACAAACAGUGUUUAGAUUUGUGUUUUCACAUUUGUGGUGUUUUGUAUGAUGAUUCCAAUGAAAAGCUGGUGGUGUUAUCUUCUUCUUUUCAUCAUAGAAUUUAAUGAAAAGUUUCAAUCUUGCAAUAUAACCAAUUUUUGUUGAGUACUACUUUUUAUGUGCUCAUGUAUAAUAUAAAAUUUAUAUAUGAAUAUGCCAUCAAUUUGUGCAAACCAACCGAAUGUAAUCACUAAUAACUUUACAUGUGAAUUCCAUUCCACUGAAAGAACUAAGGUUUGGUUAUUUUUGUAGGAUGAUUUUCGCCAAGCUGCUCGACAUUCCAUACACCAAACUCCUUCAAAAUUGCUUUCACUUAUCCUGCUGUUAAGUGUUAAGGUAUGAUAAUUAAAGUCCAAGCAUCUAAGUUUCUUUUACUGAUAUGAUGAUUGGCUACUCUUUAUCAAAAAACCCUUGUACAAAAAUAGCUAUCCACAGGUAAAAUUGAUUGAAAUUAUUGUCAUACACGUAUGGCUGACUUAUAGUUGAAACUGAUUGUGUACUUUCCGCAGUUACCGACAAAGAAGCCCUUCAGGGUUCUGGGUUUGCAUUACGGUCUCUGAAUAUGGUUAGACACUUCAUUAUCAAAGAAGAAAGUAAGCACUCUGUACUCACUACAAGGUUCCAUGUCGUUCGUCUGUUUCUUUCGUCUCAUCUGAACAGUAGGUUAUUAUGUAUUUUAACAGCUUGACUGUUUUAUGAAUAGUGUCAUUUCUCAUUUUAAUAUUAAAUAUAGUAAUAUACACCAUUUUUUACUUAGAAAAUGAUUAAAUAUUUGAUUAGGUGACUAAACCUCUAAGUUUUCAUUUUUUAAUUUACCUUUGGAUAAAAAUCCCGAAACACCAAUAUUUAAAAAAAUUCAAGAACUUUGAUUAAAUACUUUUUGUUCUUUUCCAAAAAAGAAGUAGAAGUAUUUUAUAAAAUAAUUCUAACUUUUAGGUUUAUCGUAUUUUAAGUAAUAUUUUUUUUGGUGUUUGUAGUGUCUAUGUCCUUGAUGAGACGGAAAUACGCAUGCACAAUGCAUAGUGUGUGCUAUCUCGGACUGUAAAUGACAGCAGGGUCCGUUUUGUCCAAAAAAGGGUACUUUAUCUAUAGAAUAUUCAUUUUAACAGAAAGAUAUAAAGGCCAUAUAGAUGGUAAUGCUAUAACAAACAAACGAAUGGAAGUACGUUGCCAUUCUUUUCAUCUCAAAUGAUCUCAAAUGCUCAAACAUGACAUUGGUGUUACUUUCAAUUAUUUUCUAUUAAGUCAUUGUAUUAUAUAUUGGGUUGAAAUUUUAAAUUACAAUGUUAUAAUAACACUGAUGAUGUGUGUGAAACGAGCUAGUUUUAAUCCUACUUUUAGUUAAUAAAUUAAGCACACAAAGGCAGUGAACCUGUCUUUUAGUGGUAUAGUUGGAUAAGUAGGGUGUCGAACUCAGGGAACAAAAAUUAAUCUAAUAACUAAUUUUAACUAAAUAAGUAAUAAAAGUAAAGGGUUUUUUCUUUAGUUUUACAAGACUAGAAACUUAAACAUCGCACUUAAAACAAUUAACUAACUAAACAAUUAAAGCAAAUGACAAAUUCACCAAAUUUAUUAAAGGGUUUCUGUUUAGGUUCAACUAAUUCACUCCUAUGGUUAUUUAAAUGAUAAAUUAAUUAUUAUUGGUUACCAACUAUAAUGGUUAGGUUCAUGUUCAUUACUCCUAACCCUUAGACAUUUAAUCAAUUCAAGCAGUGACCAAUUGUUUAAACUAAUUAAUUCCCUAGUUUAAUUAUUUGGAUUAAAUAAGAUUUGUAAUUGGUUAAUCAAGUUGGUGUUUCAAUUAACCUCUUGUUUGUUGGUUUCUCAAACAAGCUCAC